rnacentral:rRNA from 1 species
CACGGGGGGAACGAGCGUUGUUCGGAAUUACUGGGCGUAAAGCGCGUGUAGGCGGCCUUGCAAGUUGGGUGUGAAAGCCCUCGGCUUAACCGAGGAAGUGCGCCCAAAACUACGAGGCUUGAGUGCCGGAGAGGGUGGCGGAAUUCCCGGUGUAGAGGUGAAAUUCGUAGAUAUCGGGAGGAACACCAGUGGCGAAGGCGGCCACCUGGACGGUAACUGACGCUGAGACGCGAAAGCGUGGGGAGCAAAC